CAGCACCUCAAGUGGUCAGGAUGAUUAUUGGGCCUAAAGCAUCCGUAGCCGGCGCUGUAAGUUUUCGGUUAAAUCUGUACGCUCAACGUACAGGCUGCCGGGAAUACUGCAGCGCUAGGGAGUGGGAGAGGUAGACGGUACUCGGUAGGAAGGGGUAAAAUCCUUUGAUCUAUUGAUGACCACCUGUGGCGAAGGCGGUCUACCAGAACACGUCCGACGGUGAGGGAUGAAAGCUGGGGGAGCAAACCGAAUUAGAUACCCGAGUAGUCC
rnacentral:rRNA from 1 species